CCUAUUCUUAGCGAAUGUAUACGUCUUAAUAGCUAUCAGGUUGCCAAAUUUCAGCCCGAUCCGUCCAGUAGUUUGAGCCGUGCGUUGAUAGAUCAGUCAGUCAAUCCUUUUCCU